CCCUUAGAUGUUCUGGGCUGCACGCGCGCUACACUGAUGCGCUCAACGAGUUUUAACCUUGCCUGGAAAGGUUGGGUAAUCUUUUUAAAACGCAUCGUGAUGGGGAUAGAUUAUUGCAAUUAUUAAUCUUCAACGAGGAAUUCCUAGUAAGCGCGAGUCAUCAGCUCGUGCUGAUUACGUCCCUGCCCUUUGUACACACCGCCCGUCGCUCCUACCGAUUGGGUGAUCCGGUGAAUAAUUCGGACUGCGGCAUUGACCGGUUCCCGAUCGUUGCUGCGGAAAGUUUAGUGAACCUUAUCACUUAGAGGAAGGAGAAGUCGUANCA
rnacentral:rRNA from 1 species